GGUUGAAGCACUGGCGGAGAGUGCACGCCGCACCCCGCACGGACGACUGGUGGGCGGCUCAGAGACCGUCAGCGGACUGAACAACACUCAACGCCGCUUCUCCACCCAUUCGGCAGAAAACAGGGUGGUCAUGAAUCCGACGGCCAUGAGUACCCUCCGGUCAGCCACUCCCCUGCUGACGGCAGCCGCCGCCACACCCUGCGGGCAGGCCGCUCUGGUGCUGUUCGGCGCGGCAGCCGUCAUCGCUUCAGUCGGAUACACGGCCGGGAAAAUCGCCGAACUCAUCAGAGAACGCAAACAGAAGGCUCACCAGUACUGAGGGCAUCAGAGAACGCAAACAGAAGGCUCACCAGUACUGAGGGCAUCAGAGCAGAGGCGGAUCUAGCUCAGAGGUUUGGGGGGGGGGCAAACCAUAAAAAUUUAUCGAUUCUUUCCAUGCAUCGUCCAUAGGCGUAAUGUUAAAAUCAUGCCGUUUGGGGGGGGCAAAUGCCCAUUUUGCCCCCCCCCCCCUGGAUCCGCCACUGCAUCAGAGAACGCAAACAGAAGGCUCACCAGUACUGAGGGCAUCAGAGAACGCAAACAGAAGGCUCACCGGUACUGAGGGCAUCAGAGAACGGAAACAGAAGGCUCACCGGUACUGAGGGCAUCAGAGAUCGCAUGCAGAAGGCUCACCAGUACUGAGGGCAUCAGAGAACGGAAACAGAAGGCUCACCAGUACUGAGGGCAUCAGAGAACGCAAACAGAAGGCUCACCAGUACUGAGGGCAUCAGAGAACGCAAACAGAGGGCUCACCAGUAUUGAGAACGUCUCUGAGUGUGUGGGGAUCUCGCUGGUACGGGGAGACUUGAGCUUUUGUUUUUCAAAGACUUGAUACCAGUGAAAGAUUGGCACGCUGUGGUAGCAACUAGCAAUGUCCUGUAAAGAUUUUCAGAUGUUUCCAUGGCUUGCGUCGUACGCUGACAUGAAAAACAUCUUCAGGCUCGGAUGAUACUGAGAAUGAGAUUGACUCAGGGCACACUUUUGUAUAAAGAUAAUGCUGAACAUGAGGUUGAUCUCGAUGGCAGUACUAUCGAUGUACCAUCGAUAGUACCAUCAUGGUACAUGGUACAUGUACAUUAAUAAAACGCUUUUUAAAUGUACA